rnacentral:rRNA from 1 species
UACAGGGGGGGCAAGCGUUGUUCGGAAUUACUGGGCGUAAAGGGCUCGUAGGCGGCCAACUAAGUCAGACGUGAAAUCCCCAGGCUCAACCUGGGAACUGCGUCUGAUACUGGAUGGCUUGAAUUCGGGAGAGGGAUGCAGAAUUCCAGGUGUAGCGGUGAAAUGCGUAGAUAUCUGGAGGAACACCGGUGGCGAAGGCGGCAUCCUGGACCAACACUGACACUGAGGAGCGAAAGCCAGGGGAGCAAACGGG